GACGAACGCUGGCGGCGUGCUUAACACAUGCAAGUCGAACGGAAAGGCCCUGCUUUUGUGGGGUGCUCGAGUGGCGAACGGGUGAGUAACACGUGAGUAACCUGCCCUUGACUUUGGGAUAACUUCAGGAAACUGGGGCUAAUACCGGACAGGAGCCCCUGCUCCAUGGUGGGGGUUGGAAAGUUUCGGCGGUUGGGGAUGGAUUCGCGGCUUAUCAGCUUGUUGGUGGGGUAGUGGCUUACCAAGGCUUUGACGGGUAGCCGGCCUGAGAGGGUGACCGGCGACAUGGGGACUGAGAUACGGACCAGACUGCUACGGGGGGCAGCAGUGGGGAAUAUUGCACAAUGGGCGGAAGCCUGAUACAGCAACGCCGCGUGCGGGAUGACGGCCUUCGGGGUGUAAACCGCUUUCGCCUGUGACGAAGCGUGAGUGACGGUAAUGGGUAAAGAAGCACCGGCUAACUACGUG
rnacentral:rRNA from 1 species